GAGCACGUAGGUGGGUUUGUAAGUCAGAUGCGAAAGCCUUCUGUUCAACGGAAGAAUUGCAUCUGAAACUGCGAGUCUUGAGUGUAGGAGAGGAGAAUGGAACUUCUGGUGGAGCGGUGAAAUGCGUAGAUAUCAGAAGGAACGCCGGCGGCGAAAGCGAUUCUCUGGCCUAUCACUGACACUCAGUGUGCGAAAGCUAGGGGAGCAAACGGGAUUAGAUACCCCGGUAGUCCUAGCCGUAAACGAUGGGCACUAAGUAGAGGGGUUUU
rnacentral:rRNA from 1 species